rnacentral:ncRNA from 1 species
CUUGUCGGCUAGUGGGCAACUAAUCUUUUGCGUAAUAAUGCAGAACCAAAACUGCAUAAGUGUACAAGGCGUUUCAUAGAAGCAGGGUGCGUAUUACCCUGUGUUUACGUGUAUAGUCAUAUAACUCUUGUGGGGAAGCUUAGUAACUAAAGCUAGAUAUAUGUUUGGAUACUAGGCUAGACAUGUAUUUGGGGCUAGAUGCUAUGCGUAUGCAACUAAAAACAGUAAAAUGCAAAACGUAUAGGGUAAACAAUUUUGGAUAUUAACUGGUAGAAAGUACGCUUCUAUCAGUUUUUA